GUGGGGCCUUGGGCCAAACCGUCACCCCUGGGCCACAGGCAGCCACGGACCUCGCCUUUCCCACUUGGUUAGAGUCGGCUCUGCCGGGAGAAAGCGAUUCCAGAAUUCCCUAAGUUAAAGGAAUUUCUUACUCCUUCUUGAGCGCCAUCCAAGGGCCAGGCCUUAGUCUAGGAACUGGCAACACCGUGGCGACCACGUCAGACAAGAUCGCUGCCCUCAUUGAGUUCCCAGGUUGGCAGGGGAAACAAAAAUGUAAUAAAUAACUGCACUUUGCAAGAAGAGCUAUGAAGAAAAAACAGGGUGAUGGGAGAGAGAAUGCUUGGAUGUUGAAGGGAGGCCUUUCUGAGAUGGCGACAUCUUGAGCUGAAUAAAGAAGGAUGAGAAAGGAUGGGGCUUGCAAAGUUCUGGCUUCAAAGAAUUCCAGGCAGAGGGAACAAGAGUGAAGUCUCCAGGGGAAGCCAGCUUAGUGUUUGGAGACUAGAAAGAAGGGGUGUGCGGCUGGAAGAUGCUGGAGGUAGAGGACGGAAACUCAAAAGAUGAUUGAAGAUUAAAAAACAAGAUGAUUGAGGCUGGACUUCUCAAAACCUUGCUGCAGCCUGAGCUUGAGCGUUUGUGAGCUUUGCAGCCAGAUAUGAACAGAAGACAGAUUCAUUUCCUGCUGCCUGCUUCUCCAACCCCAAAUCUCCCAGUUUGAUCCGAGAGCCCUGAAGAUUUGCCUUCACCCGGCGCCCCCCAGAUGCUUCUUUUUAAGCCUUGCUUGUAAAUAGGUGUCAGUAAGGGUCUCACCAUGCAGGAUGUGGGCGUGUGGGUGCUCCAGAUCCCCACACCGGCUGUCACCAUCCCCCUGCUGUUGCCAGUGCAUCCCUUGAGGAUGCCUGGCAGGUUACACCCCACCCCGGGGGCAAAUGGUGACUGACAACAGAACAAGUGCUCACCUGCUUGCCCCACAGCAGGACAGUUCAGUGGGAGGAAUUUGUUCUAGAGCACCCUGGAUCAGGCCAAGGCUUUCCCCUUCCAUAUUCGGCUUCUUUUGCUCCUCUAAUAAGUCACGCAUGUGGAGCCC
rnacentral:lncRNA from 1 species